rnacentral:rRNA from 1 species
GAUGAACGCUGACAGAAUGCUUAACACAUGCAAGUCGAUGGGGAAGUGGUGCUUGCACCAUGGUAACCAUGGCGGACGGGUGAGUAACGCGUAAGGGACUUACCUGCAGGACUGGGAUAACAGGGGGAAACUCCUGACAAGACCGGAUAAUGUCAUGGAGCUGCAUGGCUUUAUGAUUAAAGGAGACGCCUGCGGAGAGCCUUGCGUCCUAUUAGCUAGUUGGUGAGGUAAGGGCUCACCAAGGCGAAGAUAGGUAGCCGGCCUGAGAGGGUGGACGGCCACAAGGGGACUGAGAUACGGCCCUUACUCCUACGGGAGGCAGCAGUGGGGAAUAUUGGACAAUGGGGGCAACCCUGAUCCAGCAAUUCUGUGUGCACGAAGAAGGUUUUCGGAUUGUAAAGUGCUUUCAGCAGGGAAGAAGGAAGUGACGGUACCUGCAGAAGAAGCGACGGUA